UGGGGAAUAUUGGACAAUGGGCGCAAGCCUGAUCCAGCCAUGCCGCGUGAGUGAUGAAGGCCCUAGGGUUGUAAAGCUCUUUCACCGGUGAAGAUAAUGACGGUAACCGGAGAAGAAGCCCCGGCUAACUUCGUGCCAGCAGCCGCGGUAAUACGAAGGGGGCUAGCGUUGUUCGGAAUUUACUGGGCGUAAAGCGCACGUAGGCGGACUUUUAAGUCAGGGGGUGAAAUCCCCGGGGGCUCAACCCCGGAACUGCCUUUGAUACUGGGAAGUCGUUGCUAGAUGAUUGCGANAGAGGUGAGUGGGAAUUCCGAGUGUAGAGGUGAAAUUCGUAGAUAUUCGGAGGAACACCAGUGGCGAAGGC
rnacentral:rRNA from 1 species